GAUCGCUGGAAACCUAGCUUGCUAGGUGGAAGGAGAGGCGAACGGGUGAGUAAUACAUAAGCAACCUGCCCACGAAGACUGGGAUAAUCCUGGAAACGAGGACUAAUACCGGAUAGGUUACGAAUUCGCAUGAAUUUGUAAUUAAAGGUUAGAAACACUGGUGGAUGGGCUUAUGGUGCAUUAGCUAGUUGGUGAGGUAACGGCCCACCAAGGCGAUGAUGCAUAGCCGGGCUGAGAGGCUGAACGGCCACAUUGGGACUGAGACACGGCCCAGACUCCUACGGGAGGCAGCAGUAGGGAAUUUUCGGCAAUGGGGGAAACCCUGACCGAGCAACGCCGCGUGAGUGAUGAAGGUCUUCGGAUUGUAAAGCUCUGUUGUAAGGGAAGAAUGAAUUGGAUAGAAUCCGAUUGUGACGGUACCUUACCAGAAAGCUACGGCUAACUACGUGCCAGCAGCCGCGGUAAUACGUAGGUAGCGAGCGUUAUCCGGAAUUAUUGGGCGUAAAGGGUGCGUAGGCGGCUUGUUAAGUUUAAGGUGAAAGAAUGUGGCUCAACCCCAUAAAGCCUUAGAUACUGGCAAGCUAGAGUACUGGAGAGGGUAGUGGAAUUCCAUGUGUAGCGGUAAAAUGCGUAGAUAUAUGGAGGAACACCGGUGGCGAAGGCGGCUACCUAGACAGAGACUGACGCUGAGGCACGAAAGCGUGGGGAGCAAAUAGGAUUAGAUACCCUAGUAGUCCACGCCGUAAACGAUGAAUGCUAGAUAUCGGGGCAACUCGGUGUCGAAACUAACGCGAUAAGCAUUCCGCCUGUGGAGUAUGCACGCAAGUGUGAAACAUAAAGGAAUUGACGGGGGCCCGCACAAGCGGUGGAGUAUGUGGUUUAAUUCGACGCAACGCGAAGAACCUUACCAGGCCUUGACAUCCCUUGCAAAACUCUAGAGAUAGAGCAGAG
rnacentral:rRNA from 1 species